ACUGCACGAACGUGCGAUAAGGGGACUCCGAGUGCGAGGGCAUACAGUCCUCGCUAUUGUGUACCGUAGGGUGGUACACGACCAAGAGCUGGGCAAGACCGGUGCCAGCCGCCGCGGUAAUACCGGCAGCUCGAGUGAUGGCCGAUUUUAUUGGGCCUAAAGCGUCCGUAGCUGGCCCUGCAAGUCCGUCGGGAAAUCCACUCGCCUAACGAGUGGGCGUCCGGCGGAAACUACAGGGCUUGGGACCGGAAGACUUGAGGGGUACGUCUGGGGUAGGAGUGAAAUCCUGUAAUCCUGGACGGACCGCCGAUAGCGAAAGCACCUCAAGACGACGGAUCCGACAGUGAGGGACGAAAGCUAGGGUCUCGAACCGGAUUAGAUACCCGGGUAGUCCUAGCUGUAAACGAUGUUCGCUAGAUGUGGCACAGGCUACGUGCCUGUGCUGUGUCGUAGGGAAGCCGAGAAGCGAACCGCCUGGGAAGUACGUCCGCAAGGAUGAAACUUAAAGGAAUUGGCGGGGGAGCACA
rnacentral:rRNA from 1 species